UACGUAGGGCGCAAGCGUUAUCCGGAAUUAUUGGGCGUAAAGAGCUCGUAGGCGGUUUGUAGCGUCUGCCGUGAAAGUCCGGGGCUCAACUCCGGAUCUGCGGUGGGUACGGGCAGACUAGAGUGAUGUAGGGGAGACUGGAAUUCCUGGUGUAGCGGUGGAAUGCGCAGAUAUCAGGAGGAACACCGAUGGCGAAGGCAGAUCUCUGGGCCGUAACUGACGCUGAGGAGCGAAAGCAUGGGGAGCGAACAGG
rnacentral:rRNA from 1 species